rnacentral:misc_RNA from 1 species
UCAAACUUGGUCAUUUAGAGGAAGUAAAAGUCGUAACAAGGUCUCCGUUGGUGAACCAGCGGAGGGAUCAUUACUGAGUUUACAACUCCCAAACCCACUGUGAACAUACCUAUCGUUGCUUCGGCGGGAACGCCCCGGCGCGCCCUCAGGGGCUUGCCCGGAACCAGGCGCCCGCCGGAGAACCCAAACUCUUGAUUUCCCGCACAGCGGCAGUAAUUUUCUGAGUACAAACGCAAAAUAAAUUAAAACUUUCAACAACGGAUCUCUUGGCUCUGGCAUCGAUGAAGAACGCAGC